AAUCUGCCCUUCACUCUGGGACAAGCCCUGGAAACGGGGUCUAAUACCGGAUAACACCGGCCUUCGCAUGGAGGCUGGUUGAAAGCUCCGGCGGUGAAGGAUGAGCCCGCGGCCUAUCAGCUUGUUGGUGGGGUAAUGGCCCACCAAGGCGACGACGGGUAGCCGGCCUGAGAGGGCGACCGGCCACACUGGGACUGAGACACGGCCCAGACUCCUACGGGAGGCAGCAGUGGGGAAUAUUGCACAAUGGGCGAAAGCCUGAUGCAGCGACGCCGCGUGAGGGAUGACGGCCUUCGGGUUGUAAACCUCUUUCAGCAGGGAAGAAGCGAAAGUGACGGUACCUGCAGAAGAAGCGCCGGCUAACUACGUGCCAGCAGCCGCGGUAAUACGUAGGGCGCAAGCGUUGUCCGGAAUUAUUGGGCGUAAAGAGCUCGUAGGCGGCUUGUCACGUCGGGUGUGAAAGCCCGGGGCUUAACCCCGGGUCUGCAUCCGAUACGGGCAGGCUAGAGUGUGGUAGGGGAGAUCGGAAUUCCUGGUGUAGCGGUGAAAUGCGCAGAUAUCAGGAGGAACACCGGUGGCGAAGGCGGAUCUCUGGGCCAUUACUGACGCUGAGGAGCGAAAGCGUGGGGAGCGAACAGGAUUAGAUACCCUGGUAGUCCACGCCGUAAACGUUGGGAACUAGGUGUUGGCGACAUUCCACGUCGUCGGUGCCGCAGCUAACGCAUUAAGUUCCCCGCCUGGGGAGUACGGCCGCAAGGCUAAAACUCAAUGGAAU
rnacentral:rRNA from 1 species